UCCCUGGUGGUCCGGUGUUAAGACUCCGCACUAUCAAUGCAGGGCCCCAGGUUCGAUCCCUGGUCAGGGAA
rnacentral:tRNA from 1 species